rnacentral:rRNA from 1 species
AACGAACGCUGGCGGCAUGCCUAACACAUGCUAGUCGAACGAAGCCUUCGGGCUUAGUGGCGCACGGGUGCGUAACGCGUGGGAAUCUGCCCUUUGGUUCGGAAUAACAGUUGGAAACGACUGCUAAUACCGGAUGAUGACGAAAGUCCAAAGAUUUAUCGCCAGAGGAUGAGCCCGCGUAGGAUUAGCUAGUUGGUGUGGUAAAGGCGCACCAAGGCGACGAUCCUUAGCUGGUCUGAGAGGAUGAUCAGCCACACUGGGACUGAGACACGGCGCAGAGUCCUACGGGAGGCAGCAGUGGGGAAUAUUGGACAAUGGGCGAGAGCCUGAUCCAGCAAUGCCAGGUGAGUGAUGAAGGCCCUAGGGUUGUAAAGCUCUUUUACCCGGAAUGAUAAUGACAGUACCGGGAGAAUAAGCCCCGGUUAACUCCAUGCCAGCCGCCGCAGUAA